rnacentral:rRNA from 1 species
AUCUAUGGCCAUGCCAUCCUGAACACACCUGACGUCAUCUGCUCUUAGAAUCUCAGCAGGGCCAGUCUGAUUAUUAGUACUUGCAUGAUAAGACUAUAUUUUAGGGGCUGGAGAGA